AUUGAACGCUGGCGGCAUGCCUUACACAUGCAAGUCGAACGGCAGCAUGGGUGCUUGCACCUGAUGGCGAGUGGCGAACGGGUGAGUAAUGCAUCGGAACGUACCCGGAAGUGGGGGAUAACGUAGCGAAAGUUAUGCUAAUACCGCAUAUUCUGUGAGCAGGAAAGCGGGGGAUCGCAAGACCUCGCGCUUCCGGAGCGGCCGAUGUCGGAUUAGCUAGUUGGCGGGGUAAAGGCCCACCAAGGCAACGAUCCGUAGCGGGUCUGAGAGGAUGAUCCGCCACACUGGGACUGAGACACGGCCCAGACUCCUACGGGAGGCAGCAGUGGGGAAUUUUGGACAAUGGGCGCAAGCCUGAUCCAGCCAUGCCGCGUGAGUGAAGAAGGCCUUCGGGUUGUAAAGCUCUUUCGGCUGGGAAGAAAUCGCAUCUCCUAAUACGGGGUGUGGAUGACGGUACCAGCAUAAGAAGCACCGGCUAACUACGUG
rnacentral:rRNA from 1 species